GGGGGUAUAGCUCAGUGGCAGAAUGUGUGCUUAGUAUAUAUGAGGUCCUGGGUUCAAUCCCCAGUACCUCUA
rnacentral:tRNA from 1 species